UACAGAGACUGCAAGCGUUAUUCGGAUUCACUGGGCGUAAAGGGUGCGCAGGCGGUUGUGUGUGUCCGGGGUGAAAGCCCGGGGCUUAACCCCGGAAUUGCGCCUGAAACUACAUGACUAGAGCAUUGGAGAGGGUAGCGGAAUUCACGGUGUAGCAGUGAAAUGCGUAGAUAUCGUGAGGAACACCAGAGGCGAAGGCGGCUACCUGGACAAUUGCUGACGCUCAGGCACGAAAGCGUGGGGAGCAAAAGGG
rnacentral:rRNA from 1 species